UACAGAGGUCCCAAGCGUUGUUCGGAUUCAUUGGGCGUAAAGGGUGCGUAGGCGGUUUGUUGCGUCGGCUGUGAAAUCCCGAGGCUCAACCUCGGGUCUGCAGUCGAUACGAGCAAACUAGAGUGUUGCAGGGGAGACUGGAAUUCCUGGUGUAGCGGUGAAAUGCGCAGAUAUCAGGAGGAACACCGGUGGCGAAGGCGGGUCUCUGGGCAACAACUGACGCUGAGGAGCGAAAGCGUGGGGAGCGAACAGG
rnacentral:rRNA from 1 species